GGUUGCCUUUCCGCCAUGUCUUUCGUAAACUGUUGCCUACAGCCUUCAUGUCAUAUUGAUUUCAGCUUUUCUGGUGCAAUACUUUGCGUGGAAUACUGGUGUUGCAGAGGACUCGGGCGUCAAACACAACCCGACUACCUUCGUACGAUUACACUACCUAACGACAAACAAUCGUGAUAAAAAAAAACUCGUUCGUUCGGUGGUCACAGGUGGUCAAAAUAGCCAAAAAGGAGACAACAGCCCGCUCUUAAGAGAAGAAGCUGCACUUGGACAAAAGGCCUAUAGUUUAACCGCACCCUUGCCACAAAAUACUCCAACCCUGACACUCUGCCAGGGACAUCACUUCUCAUAGUACUUUUUUUUUAUAAAAAUACUGUGUAAAACUUCACUUCAUCUUUUUUUGGGGUGAAGGGCAACUUGAAAUGAUCCACACAAUGACAGUUCUUUUUGAGUAUGGUACUUUCUGUGCUACUAGUUGACAUCCCCCACUUGUGAAUUUGUAGGCCUCCAUCAGCUUGGCUUCAUGAUGACCACCAUUUCAUCUGUUUCACUCAUCAUCACUGGACAUAAGUCUUGUAGCUGUUUCCUGUAAAACUGCAAAAAGGAGAAGGAAGUAUUGUUUAAAAAUCAGGCCAUAUAUUUGAAAAAUAACUAGUAGUUAAAGGCGACUUAAGAAACUUUCUGCCUGUGUGCUGUCAUUGGCUAUAAGAAAGGCUAAAACCUGUCCAGUGGAAACCCCAUCUCCAGGCUGUACAUUUUGCGACAGAAGAACAUUCCGAAACCCGAGCAUUCAUUGUUUGCUUAUAGGGUGAAGAGCAUAGUGCAGUGUUUUUCACCCUCUGCAGGCAACCAUGAUUGUGUGUGUGUUUCAGAGGGGAAUAUUGAUUAAAAUCUUUCAUUAAAAAACACCAGAAACUGUGGUUAAGACGUUUGUUGAACACCUCUUUCAAAGCAAUUAUACUAGCUAACACUGCUGACUGCAAAACAUUGCUAAUCACACCACUGAACUGUUUGUCAUACCCUACUUGAUGCAGUUCCACUGUUAAACUGGUAAGAG
ensembl:lncRNA